rnacentral:lncRNA from 1 species
AUUGCUUUCAUUGGAAAUUAGUACUUGUAGAGUAUGUUGUAAAUCAUUUGAUACCUUUAUCUCUUUCUUGAACCCAUUACUCGAUAAAGUAUUUUCCAGUGUCAUUUGUUUAUAUUCUUUUACAUAAUUUGUAACAUAUUUCUGUUACCUUCCCAAAAUAUUUGUUUACAUUCUUUUUCAUAAUUUGUAAUGUAUUUCUGUUACCUUCCCAAAAUCCAGAACAACUUUUUUUCGGUCACGUAUGAUUUCUAUUUACAUUACACAAUAUAAUUUGUCACAAUUGAACUAUAAUAGAGGUUUAGGCAAGGGGAAAUUGAUGUUUAUCUGGUGGUACUCUUUCUUUUUUGUUGUUGAACUGGUCUGGUGAUGUAAAGAGGAUCUUCAAGGGUUGGAUUUUCAGCAAAGAAAAAGAAACUAGAUAGCUUUGUGUAUCAGAUGCGAAGGCUUUUCUCUCUGAAUAACAUAGAGGUUUGGAUUAGUUCGCACCAUCAUUUUUAUUUUAUAGUUCGCACUUGUAUUUGUAUUUGUUAGUUUGCACCAUCAUUUGUAUUUUAUAUAAUUCGCACUUGUAUUUUAAAGAACUGUUUUGUAUUUGUAUUUUAUAUUUGACUGUAUAUUAUAUUGGAUUAUAUUUGUAUUAUGAUUUUAUUGUGUUUGUAUAUUUAGAUUAUAUUUGUAUUUGUAUUUGUAUUUUCGUCG